UAUACCAGCUAAACCCUGUGCAGUUGUCAUUGCAGUCAAGUCUCAGCAUGGACAUGGGGGUCCUGAUUCUGUUCCUUGGGAUCUUGCUUCUCUGGCUUCCUGGUUCCAAUUGUGACAUCCAGAUGAUACAGUCUCCAUCAUCCCUGUCUGCAUCUUUGGGAGACAGUGUUACCAUCAGUUGCAGGGCAAGUGAGAACAUUAACAAAUAUUUGGCCUGGUAUCAGAAGAAACCAGAUGGAAUUGUUAAACCCCUAAUUUAUUACACAUCCACUCUACAAUCUGGGGUCCCAUCAAGGUUCAGUGGCAGUGGGUCUGGGACAGACUAUUCUCUCACCAUCAGUGGCCUGGAGCCUGAUGAUAUUGCAACUUACUAUUGUCAGCAAGGUUAUAACCUUCCCACAGUGAUACCAGUCAUAACAUAA